rnacentral:rRNA from 1 species
UACGUAGGGUGCGAGCGUUGUCCGGAAUUAUUGGGCGUAAAGGGCUCGUAGGCGGUCUGUCGCGUCGGUAGUGAAAACUCGGGGCUUAACCCCGAGCCUGCUUCUGAUACGGGCAGACUAGAGGUAUGCAGGGGAGAACGGAAUUCCUGGUGUAGCGGUGAAAUGCGCAGAUAUCAGGAGGAACACCGGUGGCGAAGGCGGGUCUCUGGGCCGAAACUGACGCUGAGGAGCGAAAGCGUGGGUAGAAGCAACGGG